GAUGAACGCUGGCGGCGUGCCUAAUACAUGCAAGUCGAGCGAAUGGAAGGGAGCUUGCUCCCUGAAGUUAGCGGCGGACGGGUGAGUAACACGUGGGCAACCUACCUACAAGAUUGGGAUAACUUCGGGAAACCGGAGCUAAUACCGGGUAAUACAUUGGAUCGCAUGGUUCGAUGUUGAAAGAUGGCUUCGGCUAUCACUUGUAGAUGGGCCCGCGGCGCAUUAGCUAGUUGGUGAGGUAACGGCUCACCAAGGCAACGAUGCGUAGCCGACCGGAGAGGGGGAUCGGCCACACUGGGACUGAGACACGGCCCAGACUCCUACGGGAGGCAGCAGUAGGGAAUCUUCCGCAAUGGACGAAAGUCUGACGGAGCAACGCCGCGUGAGUGAUGAAGGCCUUCGGGUCGUAAAGCUCUGUUGUUAGGGAAGAACAAGUACCGUUUGAAUAAGGCGGUACCUUGACGGUACCUAACCAGAAAGCCACGGCUAACUACGUGCCAGCCGCCGCGGUAA
rnacentral:rRNA from 1 species